CACCCCUGUGCAACUGUCACACCUGCCAGAAGAUUGCACCACCUUCACCCAGGGCAGGAAAACUUACACCAAGGUGGCAGGUUGUGCUCAUGAGAAGGAGAAACAGGCCAGCGCUGGCAUGCAUUUUGGGGCAAUAAGAAGAGAACCUGCAAGCAGCUGGGUCAGCAUUAAGAAGCCAAAGUCCACUCUGCAGCAGGGGUUAACCCCCUUUAGCAACUGAGACACAUCUUCUGGUUUCAUUUUAUCCCCGAAGACUCCAGGUUGUGUGCUCACAGCCUCCUUCAUGAUGCAAACCAAAGCAGAACUAAGCAGAGAAAAUGGAUACAGCUGAUAGCUGCAAGCCCUGUGUUGCCAGAGCUGGGCUGGGAGUCCCAUCAAGCAGCUGUGCAAGUAGGAUGGGGAUGAUUACCUGCUGCUAAUUAAAAUAUUGUCUGUAAUACUGCCCGUGACCCCUGUGUCAAACCACCCCUGUCACUCGGAAGUUUGUGAGAGGGGACCAGGAAGGCAGGGGAGCCUCCUGAGGUUGCUAUCACACUGUUGCCAUUCAGGAGCUUGCUGUGAGUAGUAGAAGGGGAGAAGACUUCCAGCCCACACAUCCUGCAGUGAGGAAGGCUCAUCUCCACCAGAUCCCCAGAGACAGCCGCAGCCUGCUGCUUUUCUGGAAUGAAACUUACAAUUUUCCCAACGGUUUGCUAACAGGAGCAAUCAGCUGCAAAGCAGGUACAAAGCUCUGCUCCAAG
rnacentral:lncRNA from 1 species